GACGAACGCUGGCGGCGUGCUUAACACAUGCAAGUCGAACGAUGAAGAAGAGAAACGCGAACUUCGGUUCAAAUUUCACUUCGGAUUAGUGGCAGACGGGUGAGUAACGCGUGAGCAACCUACCUCUCACAAAGGGAUAGCCUCGGGAAACCGUGAUUAAUACCAUAUGACACAUUCAUAAGGCAUCUUAAGAAUGUUAAAGCUACGGCGGUAAGAGAUGGGCUCGCGUCCCAUUAGCUAGUUGGUGAGGUAACGGCCCACCAAGGCGACGAUGGGUAACCGGCCUGAGAGGGUGAACGGUCACAUUGGAACUGAGACACGGUCCAAACUCCUACGGGAGGCAGCAGUGGGGAAUAUUGCACAAUGGAGGGAACUCUGAUGCAGCGACGCCGCGUGAGCGAUGAAGGAAUUCGUUUCGUAAAGCUCUGUUCUAUGGGAAGAAAAGGACUGUACCAUAGGAGAAAGCCCCGGCUAAAUACGUG
rnacentral:rRNA from 1 species